rnacentral:rRNA from 1 species
UACGUAGGAUCCAAGCGUUAUCCGGAAUUACUGGGCGUAAAGCGUGCGCAGACUGUACGGUAGGUCAAAUGCGAAAUCUCGUGGCUCAACCACGUAGACUGUAUUUGAAACCGCCGAACUAGAGGUAGGUAGAGGCAAGUGGAAUUUCUGGUGUAGGGGUGACAUCCGUAGAUAUCAGAAGGAACACCAAUGGCGAAGGCAGCUUGCUGGGCCUUACCUGACGUUCAGGCACGAAAGCGUGGGGAGCAAACAGG